UACCAGCACCCCGAGUGGUCGGGACGUUAUUGGGCCUAAAGCAUCCGUAGCCGGUUCUACAAGUCUUCCGUUAAAUCCAACUGCUUAACAGGUGGGCUGCGGAAGAUACUAUAGAGCUAGGAGGCGGGAGAGGCAAGCGGUACUCGAUGGGUAGGGGUAAAAUCCGUUGAUCCAUUGAAGACCACCAGUGGCGAAGGCGGCUUGCCAGAACGCGCUCGACGGUGAGGGAUGAAAGCUGGGGGAGCAACGG
rnacentral:rRNA from 1 species